rnacentral:lncRNA from 1 species
AAGGAAACAGAUCGGCUGUGAGCCUGUUACUGCGUCUGCGACUGUGGUCUGGGAGUGUGAUAGAGAUGGCGUCACGGCGACUUCACGACCUCGGCGCCGAUGACUCUCAUGUGUGACGGCUAAUUUCCUUAUUUUUGACCUUCAUUCUUCAAUCUUCAACUCUUCAACAUGUUCAUAACUUCUUCAUUCUUCAAUCUUCAGCUUUUUUAUAAUAAUUUAUGGUAGAUUAAUUGGUAGUUCUUGUAAAUUGGAAUAAGGAAAUAUGUUUGUGGAUCUAAGUUUUUCCUUUUUCCAUUGUUUGUGGAUCUACUUGGUCACUGCAAAAUUUUAGAUAUUGAUUACUGCACUUUUCUUUGAAAACUUAUAUUAUUGAUAUAGUUUAAUAGCAACAAGUUAUUUUCUCUCUUUUCUUAGAUUACUGCACUUUUCUAGUGAACAGAUUAACUACUCAUUGGAAAUUUGGAAUCGCCACUUGCCUUCUGAACUUUGUCGUGUGAAUGUUUCUCAACAAAAGGGUCUUUGUGAGCAUCCUCACUCCGUAGGCG